rnacentral:rRNA from 1 species
AACUUUCAGCAGUGGAUGUCUAGGCUCGCACAUCGAUGAAGAACGCUGCGAACUGCGAUACGUAAUGCGAAUUGCAGGAUUCAGUGAUCAUCGAAUUUUGAACGCAUAUUGCACUCCGGUUAUCUGGAAUAGCCGUAUCAGUGUCG